GACGAACCGUCCUAACGUUGUUCGGAAUCACUGGGCUUAAAGGGCGCGUAGGCGGGUCGCCAAGUCUGGGGUGAAAUCUUUCGGCUUAACCGGAAAAUAGCCCUGGAUACUGGCGAUCUCGAGGGUGGUAGGGGCAUGUGGAACUUCCGGUGGAGCGGUGAAAUGCGUUGAUAUCGGAAGGAACGCCGGUGGCGAAAGCGACGUGCUGGACCACUACUGACGCUGAGGCGCGAAAGCCAGGGGAGCAAACGGG
rnacentral:rRNA from 2 species